GACGUAGGGGGCAAGCGUUGUCCGGAAUCAUUGGGCGUAAAGCGCUCGUAGGUGGAUCGGUAAGUCUGCAAAGAAAGACCCGGGCUCAACUCGGGGAACGGUGUGGAUACUACCGAUCUUGAGGCAAUCAGAGGAUGAUGGAAUUCCCGGUGUAGCGGUGAAAUGCGUAGAUAUCGGGGGGAACACCAGUGGCGAAGGCAGCUCGCUGGGACGGUACUGACGCUGAGACGCGAAAGCGUGGGGAGCAAACAGG
rnacentral:rRNA from 1 species